AUCAGCGGUGGCUGCGGAGUAGGGAACAAGGCCGCCCUCACUAGCAACAACUUGAGUCUGCUUCUUUCACCAAGGGCUGCGUGGGGGCAACAGAGGCAGAGAAGAGUCCAGGCAGCCUUGAGGCGUUAACGGAGACUGACCUGGAGGCCAGGCCAUGUUUGUUAAUGAACCUGAGAAGCUGCUGAAGGAGGCCUGGGAAAGCCCCGACUUGACACCUGUGGCUGCUUCGAGCUCCUGAAGGCCAUUCUCCCCUGGCAGGUUUCCUGAGGCCUCCUGGAAGCCGAGCAGAUGCCAACCUCAUGCUUCCUGUAUAGCCUGCAGAACCAUGAGCCAAUGAAACCUCUUUUCAAGUUAUCUGGUCUCAGGUAUUUCUUUAUAGCAGUGUGAGAACAGACUCAUACAGGGAGUGAGGACUUCUCUGAUCAAAGGAAAGCAGCCACCUGGUUUUUGUCCAGUGGUUCACUGAAAAUAUUUUACUGAAUAAAACUUUUCCUAACUGGCAAGAAUGGUCUAGAAGCAGGUUGCUCAAAUAGUGGAAGAAGUCCUCUUGAGGUCAAGGUAGUCACUGAUGCCUUGACUUAGAACAGCAAAGCCACUACCGGAAAACCUGAACGCGCAAGAUCGCAGUUCACAAUUCAGAGCAGAGGGCCUGUAGCCCUUCGAGGCCCGAAGCCAGAGAAUGCCGGAGGAGAGUUUUAUUGCAGGAACUUAAAUUUAACCAGCUGGAACUCUUUAAACAAUCAUCCUAUUCAUAUAUUUAAAAUAAAUUGUGCAUCUUUUAGCAGGCAGUCAGCGUUUCGUUAUUAAGAUGGAAGAUGGGACAGAGUGUUCUUGGCUGCGUUGAUCCCAGAAUCCCAGGCUCCUUUUCAGGCGCGCUUAGCAUGUGGUAAAGACAUUUGCGAAGGUAAGUGUGUUUCAGGCCUGUCAGACUGGAGCCCGCAUACCUACACAGCAAGCAGCCGCUGGUCAACUGAGCAGCUCAAAGGGAGACCUUUCCAAGGUGAUGUCAUUUUCUCCUGACGUUCUACCAGAAGCCUGUAGGGAGCAAGAAAGUUGGAAAGAAAAAGGAC
rnacentral:lncRNA from 10 species